rnacentral:rRNA from 1 species
GACGGGGGGCAGCAGUGGGGGAAUUUUUGGACAAUGGGCGCAAGCCUGAUCCAGCCAUGCCGCGUGUCUGAAGAAGGCCUUCGGUUGUAAGGACUUUUGUUCAGGGAGCAAAACUUACUGGUUAAUACCUGGUGAGGUUGAGAGUACCUGAAGAAUAAGCACCGGCUAACUACGUGCCAGCAGCCGCGGUAAUACGUAGGGUGCAAGCGUUAAUCGGAAUUACUGGGCGUAAAGCGUGCGCAGGCGGACUUUUAAGCCAGAUGUGAAAGCCCCGAGCUUAACUUGGGAAUUGCGUUUUGGAACUGGGAGUCUAGAGUCUGUCAGAGGGGGAUGGAAUUCCACGUGUAGCAGUGAAAUGCGUAGAGAUGUGGAGGAACACCGAUGGCGAAGGCAGUCCCCUGGGAUAAGACUGACGCUCAUGCACGAAAGCGUGGGGAGCAAAACAGGAUUAGAUACCCUGGUAGUCCACGCCCUAAACGAUGUCUACUAGUUGUUGGGGUAGCAAUACCUCAGUGACGCAGCUAACGCGUAG